CAGUACGCAGGCGCACGAGCCGCCCUGGUCUAUAUAAGGAAGGUUCGCCGCGUUCUCUUCCUUUUCGUUCUUCACACGUUUCCAGUGGUCAUUGUUUGUGUGGCAUGUCUCAUCCCUGCGGGAGUCAUCUACAAAUGGUUGGCCUGGUCAAGCGAUGCGGAAUGGAGAAUGGCGGUCGAGGAGAUAUCACCUUUGGGCUUCCAGGAAGAUGAGAAAUCGCCUACCAUCUUCGGUUUCCUAAUCUUGUUUGCAGACAGCCAAGAUGAGGCUUUGAAUGGAAGGUGAACUUGGCAAGUAGGAGACUUGGCCUGAGGGAGCCAUGGGUGCCAGUGUUGGUCUGAUCUUCCUUGAUGUCAGGCACUUCUGGAAUGCAAACCUUAUUAAAGAUCAGCCCUGUUGCCUGCUUUCCAGUCCAACUCAACGGCUGUGCAGAAUGCCAAGAAACUCAGUCUGGAGUGUGGUGUAGCAUGUACUGCUGCUGGAAGUAGACACAGAAACAAACUUUGCCUCCUAUCUGUAGAAAUAAAAAUCUGACCAGGUA